rnacentral:rRNA from 1 species
GACGAACGCUGGCGGUGUGCUUAACACAUGCAAGUCGAACGGAAAGGCCCUGCUUUUGUGGGGUGCUCGAGUGGCGAACGGGUGAGUAACACGUGAGUAACCUGCCCUUGACUUUGGGAUAACUUCAGGAAACUGGGGCUAAUACCGGAUAGGAGCUCCUGCUGCAUGGUGGGGGUUGGAAAGUUUCGGCUGUUGGGGAUGGACUCGCGGCUUAUCAGCGUGUCGGUGGGGUAGUGGCUUACCAAGACUUUGACGGGUAGCCGGCCUGAGAGGGUGACCGGCGACAUUGGGACUGUGAUAUGGCCCAGACUCCUACGGGAGGCAGCAGUGGGGAAUAUUGCACAAUGGGCGGAAGCCUGUUGCAGAAACGCCGCGUGCGGGAUAACGGCCUUCGGGUUGUAAACCGCUUUCGCCUGUGACGAAGCGUGAGUGACGGUAAUGGGUAAAGAAGCACCGGCUAACUACGUG